GAAGAACUUGAAGAAAGUGCUUUGAGUAUGUCUUGCUUCUUCUGUCAGUUAGCUUUAAAACGUUACAGGAUUGGAUUUAAGUACUACAACCUAAGCAGCUAUAAUUAAUGUUAUUCAGAGAUAGCCUCACAUUCAAUUCACCAUUAAAGACUUAACUCCUGUGUGAUCCAGACAGUGACUCUCAUCAAUCAGUUACCUUCUCCACCACAACAAUUAAAGGAAAAUCUAAAUGUUUGGGUGACAGUUGGGACUGCUGGAAGUCUGCAGGAGUACAUUGUUUUAAUUUGAAGUUCUGAACUAUUGUCUGUUUGGAAAGAAGAUUUCUCUGCAGUAGAACAAUUAAAUAAAUUCCCAAAACCCUGCAGUUACAUUAAAUAUUCCUGCAUGUAUUUAUAAUAUCCAAAUAGAAUUUGCUAAGCAAGAUAAACAAUUAAAAAAAUUCUCCUGAAUUGGUCUCUUGUGGGGUUUUCUGUCUGUCACUGAAUUCAUAGCAUGGCUAUAAACAGAAUUACCAGUUGGGUGUUUUGAGGGAGGCAUUUUAACAACUUCACGUGUGUUCAGAAACUGGAUGCGUGACUUCUUUGGCCUUAUUGCCUUCUGAAUUUUGUAAGACAUCUGGUGUUUGCUCAACUGAAUUUCCCAAAUGUUUGUUUUAAUUUUUAUAUAUUUAUUUUUUUGCUUAGCAAUGCUUAUUGCUGAUUUUGGCUAAAUCCAUACCCGAUGGGUUUAGAGUCCAGCUAUUCAACACUGGGAAACAAUGUUACGUUUAUCUUUCAACCCAAGGGCUAACACAGUACUUUAUAAGAUAUAUACGAAC